rnacentral:rRNA from 1 species
AUGGUCUGGAGCAAGAUCACCUACUACGGCAUGCUGACGCCGGAGCGCCACUACGAGAUCCAGCAGGAGAUCCAGGCGAGGCAAGCCUCGCACGCCGCCCGCAUCACUGUCGUGCUGCCUCCGGACUCGUCGGGGGAAGCAGAGGAGGAGGAGAUGGCUCUGAUGGAGGUGGAGGAGCCGGACCAGCAGGUGCCAACCUUCAACUUGGAGCAGGCGGAGGUAGAGUUCGCCGUCGCCCUGUCCAACAAGAUGGUAGAGCAGCAGGCCACCCUGGAUUCCAUCCAGGAUGAGGCCUAUGUGAAGGCCAACCGGGUGUUCCUCCGGCAGGAGCAGGCGGAGUCGGACGCGCUCUUCGCCGAACUCGAUAUGGAGGAGGUCGGAGCGGAGAAGUCGGAGGAGCCGGAGCUGCAGCUACCGCCCAUGCGGCCGGAGACGGGCACGGAGAUCGUCCUGAUCUCCGACCAGGAGUACCUAGGAUCGACGUAG